rnacentral:rRNA from 1 species
GACGAACGCUGGCGGCGUGCUUAACACAUGCAAGUCGAACGGACAGGCCCUUCUUUUGUGGGGUGCUCGUGUGGCGAACGGGUGAGUCACACGUGAGUAACCUGCCCUUUACUUUGUGAUAACUUCAGGAAACUGGGGCUAAUACCUGCUAGGAGCUCCUGCUGCAUGGUGGGGGUUGGAAAUUUUCGGCGUUUGGGGAUGGACUCGCUGCUUAUCAGCUUGUUGGUGGGGUAGUGGCUUACCAAGGCUUUGACGGGUAGCCGGCCUGCGAGGGUGACCGGACACAUUGGGACUGAGAUAAGGCCCGGACCACUAUGGGAGGCAGCAGAGGGGAAGAUAGCACAAGGCGCGGAAGCCUGAUGCAGCAACGCCGCGUGCGGGAUGACGGCCUGCGGGUUGUAAACCGCUUUCGCCUGUGACGAAGCGUGAGUGACGGUAAUGGGUAAAGAAGCACCGGCUAACUACGUG